rnacentral:tRNA from 1 species
GGCUCAGUGGCGCAGUUGGUCAGCGCGGGACCCUCAUAAGGUCCAGGUCGCAGGUUCGAGACCUGCCUGAGCCCCCA